rnacentral:lncRNA from 1 species
CUUCUGAGACCUCAGGUGCCAAUAAUGCGGUAUCAGCUGCGUCUUCAGAGUACAAGUGGUGAGUCCUGGGUGCUGUUUUUUGGGGUGAGGGCUUCUGCCCAACCGGGCUGCUCUGCCACUUUGGCCUGGCCACAUGAUGGCUUUAAUGAGCUAUUAGCUAUUUAAUCCCAUUAAAAAAAAAAAAAAAAAAGUGCUGCAGUCAAUCACUAGCACUCCCCGUGGUUUCCACUUGGAGAAAUAAUAAUUUGUUGGAAUGCUUUCAGAGUAAACAGAAAUAAUUUGUCCCACACCGCGGCAAUUCGAAAGCACAAACCCAUCUCGGGAAUGUGAUGGGGGAGUGCCAGGGGCUGGUGGUCACGGGCAGUGCCAGCUUCUGGGGAAUACCUGUGCUUCUGGGGCUGGCUGUGGGUAUGUGCAUCCAUCUGGAUGGGCUUCUGUGGCUUUUAAAUCCUAUGGGAUAAUGAGCAGCCUAAGCCAGCUGUUUAAGGAGCCAUUAGUUUGCUCAGCGUGAGGUUACCUACAAAUUGCAGGUGUCUCCUGUUGCAGGCUUAAGGAUAAACUUCCAAGCUAGGUUCAGGCUCUGUUUGCAGUAAAAGGAGCGUUUUGAGGGUUGUGACAGCAGCUGGGUAUCAGUGGGAGCUUCAGGGGUUUGGUUUCCUCCCAUUUCUGUGCAACAACUGGCUGAACACACCAGCAGCUCAGUAACCCACAAAACCAGGGGAGGUUUGUGCGUCCCACUCCUUUGGCUUGGUACCAGGCUGAGCAAUCUGUUGUGUGAAAAUACAAAUACGCUCCCUGCUACGGGAUGAAAGGACGCCGCUAGAAGUGGCUGCCAAGGAGGAGGGCUGCAGUUCAGCUCGGCACAGAGGUGGUGUCAUCCAGGUCGCUACGUGUGGCUGUCCUCGUGGUCUACGAGCUGCAGUCUUAAAAAUCAAGCAGUGCAUGGAGCCACACAAUGGAGCAAAGCCCGAAGCCCUUAGUGAAGAAGCAACACCGACCUCUUGCAAGAAGCCAUCCUUGGAGGAAGAGGGGUCCUUUCUGCUCUUCCUCCCCGUACAUGAUAAAAGGAGAGAUCCAUCUGGCACCUCACACCACUCUGCUGAUGUCCCACACAGCGAGGACCUCUGUGGUGCUCAGUGGUGGAGCCUUUUGGAUUUGAGUCCGGCUCGUCCUCAAGCGUCCAGAUGUUUUGGGGUACCCAGCCAUGGGGCAGACUUGUCAGCGAGCCCAGCAGAUUUCUUGACAUCGUGCUUUGGGAUCAGCAAAAACAUUCUGCAACUUUUCACGUGGAAGGAGCCAUUUCCUACUACACCAGUGGACUGA